rnacentral:rRNA from 1 species
CCUACGGGUGGCAGCAGUAGGGAAUAUUGCUCAAUGGGGGAAACCCUGAACCAGCAACGCCGCGUGGAGGAUGAAGGUUCUAGGUAUGUAAACCCCUUUUGUUAGAGAAGCAAAUGAUGGUAUCUAACGAACAAGCACCGGCUCAAUACGGACCAGCAGCAGCGGCAAUACGGCGGGGGCCAGCGUUACUCGGAAUCACUGGGCGUAAAGAGUGCGUAGUCGGGGUAAUAAGUCCGAUGGGAAAUCCUGUAGUUUAACUCCCGGACUGCAGUUGAAACUGUUAGUCUGGAGUGUGGGAGAGGUAGGUGGAAUGCGUGGUGUAGGGGUGAAAUGCGUAGAGAUCAAGAGGAAUACUGAUUGCGAAGGCGGCAUGCUGGAACAUUACUGACGCUGAGGCACGAAAGCGUGGGGAGCGAACAGGAUUAGAUACCCCUGUAGUC